rnacentral:rRNA from 1 species
CCUACGGGAGGCAGCAGUAAGGAAUAUUGGUCAAUGGACGCAAGUCUGAACCAGCCAUGCCGCGUGAAGGAUUAAGGUCCUCUGGAUUGUAAACUUCUUUUAUCUGGGACGAAAAAAGGCGAUUCUUCGUCACUUGACGGUACCAGAUGAAUAAGCACCGGCUAACUCCGUGCCAGCAGCCGCGGUAAUACGGAGGGUGCAAGCGUUAUCCGGAUUCACUGGGUUUAAAGGGUGCGUAGGCGGGCAGGUAAGUCAGUGGUGAAAUCCUAGAGCUUAACUCUAGAACUGCCAUUGAUACUAUCUGUCUUGAAUAUUGUGGAGGUAAGCGGAAUAUGUCAUGUAGCGGUGAAAUGCUUAGAUAUGACAUAGAACACCUAUUGCGAAGGCAGCUUACUACGCAUAUAUUGACGCUGAGGCACGAAAGCGUGGGGAUCAAACAGGAUUAGAUACCCUGGUAGUCCACGCCCUAAACGAUGAUUACUCGACAUUUGUGAUACACUAUAAGUGUCUGAGNGAAGACAUAAGUAAUACCACCNCGGAAGGUACGACCGACGAGUUAGUAAACGUUAAAGGUAAAGUUAGUACGGCGUGAGACGUUAGCCGACGGACGACCGACCGAGGGGAGGGUAGGGAG